rnacentral:lncRNA from 1 species
GCAAAGAGCCUCUUCCCCGUCCCCUCCCCUUCUCCUCUUCGCCCCCGCAUCCCCUCCCCUCCUCGGCCUCCCCUCUGCGUCGCCGCCGUCCUCUGCCGCCGCCGCCGUCCGUGUCUCCUGUAUUCCUCCUCCCUUUGUGUAUUGUCUGCCCAAUCUCUGGAAUCGACAAGGUUUGGUGGUGCAACCCGCUCCGUCUCACGGCCGUCGGCCGGCUGCCUCUCGUCGCUCCACCACCCCGUCCCGCCGAUUUUCCGCCUCGGCCUGGUGUGCUCGAUUCGGCAGUUCGGGGCUCGAGAUCGACGUCUCCAUCCAGGUUUACUGAGGGCGCAGGGUGUCGAUGUGCAGCCCGAGGAAUCGCAUAUCCGAAGGGGAAUCGAAAUUAGGGUUUCCCUCUACUCGCCGCCGAUGAAGGGGGGACGCUUGCACCGUCUGGAGCGGCCGCCCGCCGCCCACACCACCGCCACCACGCCCGCCCCGGCGCCCGCCGAUGAUUGGGGGGAUGGCUCGUGGACGGUGGACUGCUCGUGCGGCAUCACGUACGACGACGGGGAGGAGAUGGUGAGCUGCGACGAGUGCAACGUCUGGGUGCACACGCGGUGCGCCCGCUACGUCCGCGGCGUGCACAUCUCUUUCUCGUGCCACAACUGCAAGGCCAAGCGCGCCCCCUCCUCCGCCGACGAGGCUGAGGUCGCCGAGCUCCUGGCCGAGCUGCCCACCCACCGCCCACGGCCGUUGUACCGCCGAUGGGCUGAAGUCCCUCUCCCCUCCCGCGUCCAUGUCCACGGGCUUCCAGGCGGUACAGACACCGCCCUAUUCCGCAGCGCCGCACCCUCCCCUGUAUUCUCGUCCACCCUAUGGCGCUGUGCUGGCUACGUCCCCAAGAGAUUCGGCUUCCGCUACUGCGAAUUCCCCUACUGGGCUGAUGACAAGGACGGUGCCAACGCUCUAUUUGCGCUGGCUAGAGAGAAGCGCAAGGAAAAGGCAGAGACUAGGUUCCCUCUCCGCCUUGGAGCCGUACACAAGGACAAGAAUUAUGUCAGGACGCUGAGCAUUUGCGGCGAUAAGGUGGAUGGCGUUGAGCACUCUGUGGACGAUGACGCAAAGAGGACAUCUCCACCAAGUGAUGCAAAGAAGAGAGGAACAUCCAUUAGCAUUGUAGAGCCUGAUACUUGGGACAAUGGUUGUGAGAAGAAAAGGGAUUUUGAUGUGCCAGAUAGUGAUGAUCAGCAUGCCAAAACAAACAUGGUAAAUUCUGAUUUGCACGUGCUUGUUGAAGCUAAGAAGAAGAGGGCUUCAUCCUCAGAACGAAGUGGGGAUAAGAAGUGCUCUGCCUCGAAGGAAAUUACUGGGAUGCUAAAGAAAUAUGAACCUAAGGAGUCCAAGCGAUUGGUGAUAUCCUCAGGAGUUGCAACAACGGCAGCUGUAGCAGAGCAAGAAGUGCACUCACGAUUUGUGAAGGGUAGCGUGUAUGAAGGACUAGACGGGAAUCAAAAUGUAGGUUUACAGACUGGAGUAAGAUCGAAUGGAGUUGUGAAAAGGGAUGAUGUCAAACGAUCAAAUGGAGAUGUCCAGAGUGAUGCUGCUCCUGAGAAAAUGAACGAGGGUCUGGAUCUUCAGAAGCAAUCAAAUCAAACUUCAAAUCUUCUGGUUGUUGUUGGUGUACCGGAUUUACAGACUAACCAGUCAGAAUCAUUGACUAUCAAGAGUGAAGCAUCUACAGACAAUCAUGAGAGAACCGAGGCUAUCCAGUUUGUAAGUGAUGAGCGUAAAAGUGGAAAACAAGAUACUGCAAAGUUAUCAACCCUUCAGAGGCAUUCGUCCAAGUUAGCAUCUGACUUAGUUUAUCAACAUCCAAAGUCUGAAACACAAAAUCCGAUGCACACAAUACCAGAGCAUCCAAACUCAAGUUUAGAACCAUCAUCAGAAGAAACUACUGUUCGUUUGGUAAAGAAGGAUCAGACAAGGUUGGUCUCAUCCGCUGACAGCGAAAAUGAUUUUGCAAAAAAAUCUGAGAGUUCCCAGGAUCGCACAAGAUCCUCUGAUAAAGUUCAAUUGAAAGGCUUUGUUCCGUCUGCGCCAAAAUCAUCUCAAGGAAGUAGAACAUAUGUAUCUUCUGCCAAAAAUAGAUUUAUAGUGCCAAAGGAGCAGUCGCAAAAGACAUCAACUGAAGGAAACGCUCCACCAGGGUCAUUACAAGGUGAAGUGGCGCCCUUACAUUCUCGUAAUAAGGCAAUGCCUUUGAGCUUUUACCAAAGAAAGGACAAGAUCCACCACCGCUCUAUUCAUAUCACACAGGACACUUCCAAUAGUUCAGCAUCGGCUGAGCUGCAAUCUACUGAAACAACAGCUUCAUUGAGCGAUGAACAGCUUGCAUUGUUAUUACAUCAACAAUUGAACAGCUCCCCCAGAGUACCAAGGACAGGAAAGGUGUCUAGUGUUGAACGGAGGCAUAGAGAUAGUAGCACAGAACGUGUCCUUGCUGCAAAAGACUCAUGCAAAUUUACUGAAAAUAUAGAAUCAGAACAGAGAAAUCGUGGCAUUUGUUCAACUGGAGCCAUCUCUGGCGUAGGAAAUGAUGCUCCAAUAGAUAGAGGUGUUUCACAUGAUUUACCUGGGUUGAUUGAGGAAAUCAUUAGCAAAAAUACAAACAUAACAUAUGGUGAACUGUGCAACGCUAUUCGCCAGCAUUGGGGGGAUUUAAGUAAACCCAACGUGGAAAACAAUGCAUACCCCAACUAUUUACAUGCUGUUAACGAUUGUCUUAGGAACAGGAAUGACUGGGCUCACCUUGUUGACCAGGCUGCAAUGAUGAAUCCAAACAAGCGCCGGAAGGUAGAGGAAAGUGACUCUUUGUCAGCAGAUGUACUGGCAACCGAGAAGACAAAUAAAGAGGCUAAAAGGGGUCCAGAAGACACAAAUGCUGAAUCACACCAUGAAAUUCUGCCAAGGGGCAAACGCAAGGCUCGGAAAUGCAGGCGUCUUGAACUGAAAGGGAGGAGAGUCAACGAUACGAGGAAGAGAUCUAGCUUUGAUUCGGCCUCUGAUGAUGAUGAUGAUACCACCUUGUCGGAUUCCAGUAGUGACAGAAAUGACACCCCUAUGGAUAAGAGCCUAGAAGAUAGUUUUGUUAUAGCUAAGAAUGCAGAUUCAAGUUCAUAGAGGUGGUUCACUGCAGUGCUGCUGGCAAUACAUUCGAAUGAAACGGAAUCCAGUGAUUUUGG